CUUGCUUAUAUAGGCAAAGAGUCAUGCUUGUACAGCUUUGGUGUAGUGGAGGAAAUGAUGAGAUUCCUUCUGCUUUCGGUGCCACGUUUGAACUUUAGUGUUUGCAAUUGAAGUUUGUGUGAGAAACAACGUAAAGGUAUUUUCUGAGUUGGGGUGUCAAUUUCAGACGUAAAUCAUCGAAGGGAUAUUCUUGAUGUUACAUUGAAGAAGGAUUAUUUUUAGGUUUGGCUAGAGAGGUGUCUUUAGGGACUAUCUUGCAAAGAGUCGAUAGCAGUUCUUCUUUUUGAAGAUAUGGUUCAGAUUACUUUGGAGGAUUGUUCUAAGAUUCUGGUUCGUGUACAUUUAAGAAGAAGGGAAUGACGAACAUUGAUGUAACUAUUGUCGAAUGAUCUUGUACACUUCAAAAUCGAUAAUAAUCGUUGUUUGAU